UGGGCGCAAGCCUGAUGCAGCCAUGCCGCGUGUGUGAAGAAGGCCUUCGGGUUGUAAAGCACUUUCAGUCGUGAGGAAGGUAGUGUAGUUAAUAGCUGCAUUAUUUGACGUUAGCGACAGAAGAAGCACCGGCUAACUCCGUGCCAGCAGCCGCGGUAAUACGGAGGGUGCGAGCGUUAAUCGGAAUUACUGGGCGUAAAGCGCAUGCAGGUGGUUUGUUAAGUCAGAUGUGAAAGCCCGGGGCUCAACCUCGGAAUAGCAUUUGAAACUGGCAGACUAGAGUACUGUAGAGGGGGUAGAAUUUCAGGUGUAGCGGUGAAAUGCGUAGAGAUCUGAAGGAAUACCGGUGGCGAAGGCGGCCCCCUGGACAGAUACUGACACUCAGAUGCGAAAGCGUGGGGAGCAAACAGGAUUAGAUACCCUGGUAG
rnacentral:rRNA from 1 species